rnacentral:rRNA from 1 species
GGCGGCAGGCUACCAUGCAGUCGACGGUAACAGGAAGCAGCUUGCUGCUUCGCUGACGAGUGGCGGACGGGUGAGUAAUGUCUGGGAAACUGCCUGAUGGAGGGGGAUAACUACUGGAAACGGUAGCUAAUACCGCAUAACGUCGCAAGACCAAAGAGGGGGACCUUCGGGCCUCUUGCCAUCGGAUGUGCCCAGAUGGGAUUAGCUAGUAGGUGGGGUAACGGCUCACCUAGGCGACGAUCCCUAGCUGGUCUGAGAGGAUGACCAGCCACACUGGAACUGAGACACGGUCCAGACUCCUACGGGAGGCAGCAGUGGGGAAUAUUGCACAAUGGGCGCAAGCCUGAUGCAGCCAUGCCGCGUGUAUGAAGAAGGCCUUCGGGUUGUAAAGUACUUUCAGCGGGGAGGAAGGCGAUAAGGUUAAUAACCUUGUCGAUUGACGUUACCCGCAGAAGAAGCACCGGCUAACUCCGUGCCAGCAGCCGCGGUAAUACGGAGGGUGCAAGCGUUAAUC